AUGACUCUCUUAAGGUAG
rnacentral:snRNA from 1 species